UUCCCUCCCCUUCUCUUCCUUUAGGAUAACUGGAAUUUUGGAGGUCACUGGGCUGCAGCCAUGGAGGUGUUUGUGACUGAGAAGGCAGCCAGAGCUGGUGAACAAAGCCUUUGGGGAUGAAGAAUGAGAUCAGGGCUGAGGAGAUGAUGAGGGCUGAUGAGAUAGCCGUGGCCUGUGGGACCUACAGAGGAGGGGUCAGAGAUACAGGGAGAAGAGAAAAUGAUGGAGUAAAGGUUGGUAGCAUAUAACAGCCUCUGCAGGACCCACAAAUCUGAUGACUGGAAAACAGCAACUCAGCUAAGAGAAAGGGAAGAGUUCUGGAAAUCAAGAGAGCAUGACAGGAAAACUAGAAAUCACAGAGAAACUGGAGAAACUGAAGACAAUGCAGAGAAAAGAACAAAGCAGUGUGGAAUGCUAACCCUGGAUUUCAGGGAGAGGGACCUGUUUCCCAAACACAAGGACCAUAAGGAAGAUCAUUUUGAGAAUCAGGAAUGCUAAAGGUUUAAAUUAUUCCAGACGGUGACAGCAAAAUCACUGAGAAGUUUGCAAUAUUGAAGAACAGAAGAAAACAUUUUUAACAAAAUAUUGUGAAAUACCCCAGAAUGAAAAGCAGGGUUACCUGGCUGGAUGACACGCAGAGAUGUGGCCCGACUUCUCAAGAGAAGCUUUCCUUCACACUUCUUACCGUACCCUUAAUUGGAAAACAAGUUAGUCCUCGAAGGUCUUCUUCCGGUGAGAUGAUGCAGUCCUGCCCUGAACUUGCAUGCCAUUGCACAGGCCUCUGUCAUACACUACUCAACAGUACAAAAGCCCUGCCACUAAAAAUGGUGUUUGGAUCCCUGAGCCAGAGAUGUCCAAGGCAUGAAGGCAUAAAGAAUGUGUCACUCAGGGCUCGAACUCCCCUGUGGACACUGGGCAUCUCUCUGCAAGACAACUCAGCUCCUAAAGAUGAUGCUGAAGCCAAGUGUAUCUUCUCCUGUAUCCAUUCUCAUGCCCUGGGGCCACCUUGGUUAAUGGGUCUUUCGGAUUUCUUCCCUGAGGUGGUUACAGCUUCUGGAUUUGUUUGA
rnacentral:lncRNA from 1 species